rnacentral:snRNA from 1 species
AGUUUCCCACUUAUGUGGCCC